GCUGAUGUUACCAGCUCUUAACGAUGCAGUGAAAUGCUGAUGUUACCAGCUCUUAACAAUGAGGUGAAAUGCUGAUGUUACCAGCUCUUAACGAUGCAGUGAAUUGCUGAUGUUACCAGCUCUUAACAAUGCAGUGAAAUGCUGAUGUUACCAGCUCUUAACAAUGAGGUGAAAUGCUGAUGUUACCAGCUCUUAACAAUGAGGUGAAAUGCUGAUGUUACCAGCUCUUAACAAUGAGGUGAAAUGCUGAUGUUACCAGCUCUUAACAAUGCAGUGAAAUGCUGAUGUUACCAGCUCUUAACAAUGCAGUGAAAUGCUGAUGUUACCAGCUCUUAACAAUGCAGUGAAAUGCUGAUGUUACCAGCUCUUAACAAUGCAGUGAAAUGCUGAUGUUACCAGCUCUUAACAAUGCAGUGAAAUGCUGAUGUUACCAGCUCUUAACAAUGCAGUGAAAUGCUGAUGUUACCAGCUCUUAACAAUGAGGUGAAAUGCUGAUGUUACCAGCUCUUAACAAUGCAGUGAAAUGCUGAUGUUACCAGCUCUUAACAAUGCAGUGAAAUGCUGAUGUUACCAGCUCUUAACAAUGAGGUGAAAUGCUGAUGUUACCAGCUCUUAACAAUGCAGUGAAAUGCUGAUGUUACCAGCUCUUAACAAUGCGGUGAAAUGCUGAUGUUACCAGCUCUUAACAAUGAGGUGAAAUGCUGAUGUUACCAGCUCUUAACAAUGAGGUGAAAUGCUGAUGUUACCAGCUCUUAACAAUGCAGUGAAAUACUGAUGUUACCAGCUCUUAACAAUGCAGUGAAAUGCUGAUGUUACCAGCUCUUAACAAUGCAGUGAAAUGCUGAUGUUACCAGCUCUUAACAAUGCAGUGAAAUGCUGAUGUUACCAGCUCUUAACAAUGCAGUGAAAUGCUGAUGUUACCAGCUCUUAACAAUGCAGUGAAAUGCCGAUGUUACCAGCUCCUAACAAUGCAGUGAAAUGCUGAUGUUACUAGCUCUUAACAAUGCAGUGAAAUGCUGAUGCUACUAGCUCUUAACAAUGCAGUGAAAUGCUGAUGUUAAUGUCUCUUAACAAUGCAGUGAAAUGUCAAAUUAUUCCAAAAGAAAUGAUUGAAACAUAAAAACAGACUGUGCAGUAUAAAUGCUGUGUCUGUGCAGUAUAAAAAAUGAGUCUAUUCAUUAUAAUUAAUUAGCUAUGAAAUUACAUCUGGCUAUCACUAUCUCAAUAUUAUGGUCCCCACUAUCUCAAUAUUAUGGCCCUCACUAUCUCAAUAUUAUGGCCCUCACUAUCUCAAUAUUAUGGUCCUCACUAUCUCAAUAUUAUGGCCCUCUCUAUCUCAAUAUUAUGGCCAUCAAUAUCUCAAUAUUAUGCCCUCACUAUCUCAAUAUUAUGACCCUCACUAUCUCAAUAUUAUGGCCCUCACUAUCUCAAUAUUAUGGCCCUCACUAUCUCAAUAUUAUGGUCCUCACUAUCUCAAUAUUAUGGUCCUCACUAUCUCAAUAUUAUGGUCCUCACUAUCUCAAUAUUAUGGUCCUCACUAUCUCAAUAUUAUGGCCCUCGCUAUCUCAAUAUUAUGGUCCUCACAAUCUCAAUAUUAUGGUCCUCACUAUCUCAAUAUUAUGGCCCUCACUAUCUCAAUAUUAUGGCCCUCACUAUCUCAAUAUUAUGGUCCUCACUAUCUCAAUAUUAUGGCCCUCUCUAUCUCAAUAUUAUGGCCAUCAAUAUCUCAAUAUUAUGCCCUCACUAUCUCAAUAUUAUGACCCUCACUAUCUCAAUAUUAUGGCCCUCACUAUCUCAAUAUUAUGGCCCUCACUAUCUCAAUAUUAUGGUCCUCACUAUCUCAAUAUUAUGGUCCUCACUAUCUCAAUAUUAUGGUCCUCACUAUCUCAAUAUUAUGGUCCUCACUAUCUCAA